GGAAGCUGACUGUGUAACUCCUAGUUGAGUGUGAAGACCUGAGGUAUCAGGGGUAGGGGUUGCUCUGCUUGUGUAAGUCCCAUAGUGUGAAGGCCAGAGAACCAAGAGAUGGUCAAGAAGAGAGGCCUCUUCCUUCUCCUUCUCGACCUACUCAAAGUAAAGAUGAGGAUGAAGACCCUUAAGAUGAUCCACUCCCACUUAAUGAAUGAAACUUUUGUGGAUAGCUAAGUUACUGCUAGCCAUCUGAUUAUAGCAAUGGCUUCCAGGAGCAUCACGACCUGUGCAGACUCCCCAGCAUCAUAA
rnacentral:lncRNA from 1 species